GUGAACCUGCGGAAGGAUCAUUGUCGAA
rnacentral:rRNA from 1 species